rnacentral:tRNA from 1 species
GCUUUUCUAGUAUAAAGUUAGUAUGAUUGAUUUCGAAUCUCUUGGUUCAUAAAAUGAGAAAGGU